UUUGCCAUUGAAAAAACUGGUGAUAAACCUUCUACUGUAGAAACUUCCUAAAAUAUAUACAUAGAUAAACGGAAUUUAAAUGGAGUCACCAUAUAAUGGGGAAUAAGCUGCCCCCAACUAGACAUCUUAUGCCAACAAGUAAAGCCUCCACUACCAGAGAUGAGUUAUUUCCUGUUAAGUCAUUGGUCUCCCCAAACUCACAAGAUAUUGCCAAGGCUAUGUUGGUUGCUCUCCACAUCCUGACGUUAAGGCCCUAUUGCUGAAGAAACACACAAGUAUUGAACAUGGAGACAUGUAACUGGUACCCAUCUAGAAGCUUUGUCACUACUUGCUAGCAUCCUCGAUGCUGGAAGGUACUCUAACACUACCAGAGGAGAAUUAUAAUCAUCAGUACGACCCAGCUGCAAACCCAAUGACCCACACGGUGACCUGCCUGCGAGAUACGCUGGUGCAGUAGAGGCGCAGAUGCUAUGGGAGUAGCCGGCCCUUUUUGGUUGGAUUUAAGACCCAGUUCAUGAAGUGGAAAUGAUACCUGAUGCCAAAGCAGCCAAGAACCUGAGAUUCGGUCAGUGUCUAGAGAGAUGACAGAGAAUUAUGAUUCCCUCGUCAGAGAAGCUCAUUCUUGCCAUCAAUGGAAAUUAAGACAGAGGCCCACGACUGGACAAUGUGUAGAAGGAGAAUAAAAGCAUCUGACUGAGGAAUCUGAAGACCAGUGGACAAAUGAGACAUUGGAAGAAGAAAGAUGAACUAUCAAAAGAAAAUGUCCCAAGAAAAGGAGUAAAUUGGCCUAAUGGUAUAACACAUUUCCA